ensembl:snRNA predicted gene, 25104
AGCUUUUCACAGUGGCAGUAUCGUAGCCAAUGAGGUUUAUCCGAGGCAAGAUUAUUGCUAAUUGAGAACAUUUCUCCUCCACAUGUGUGCAUGGCAGGCAUCUCCUUGCUGUCUGUGUUGACUCACUGAUAAUAUAAUUAAAUUUCCAUACUGCUUCUGAGGC